rnacentral:rRNA from 1 species
CUGGUUGAUCCUGCCGGAGGCCACUGCUAUCGGAAUUCGGCUAAGCCAUGCUAGUCAGAGAGCAAUCUCGGCGUAAGGCUGAGUAACAUGUGGGUAAUCUGCCCUUAGGUGGAGGAUAACCCCGGGAAACUGGGGAUAAUACUCCAUAGGCAAUUCGUGCUGGAAUGCUGUUUUGCUUAAAGGCUUGCCGCCUAAGGAUGAGCCUGCAUCCUAUCAGGCUGUUGGUGAGGUAAUUGCUCACCAAACCUAUGACGGGUAGGGGCCAUGUGAGUGGGAGCCCCCAGAUGGGUACUGAGACAAGGACCCAGGUCCUACGGGGCGCAGCAGGCGCGAAAACUUCGCAAUGCCCGAAAGGGUGACGGGGGAAUUCCGAGUGCUAUUCACUUAGUGGAUAGCUUUUGGCGAUUGUAAACAGAUUGCAGAAUAAGGGCUGGGUAAGACCGGUGCCAGCCGCCGCGGUAACACCGGCGGCCCGAGUGGUAGCCGUUAUUAUUGGGUUUAAAGGGUCCGUAGCCGGCCUAUUAAGUCUCUUGGGAAAUCUGGCGACUUAAUCGUCAGGCGUCCAAGAGAUACUGAUAGGCUUGGGACCGGGAGAGGUGGGAGGUACUCCAGGGGUAGGGGUGAAAUCUCGUAAUCCUUGGGGGACCACCGAUGGCGAAGGCAUCCCACCAGAACGGGUCCGACGGUGAGGGACGAAAGCUGGGGGCACGAACCGGAUUAGAUACCCGGGUAGUCCCAGCUGUAAACGAUGCUCGCUAGGUGUCAGGUGCGGUGCGACCGCACCUGGUGCCGCAGUGAAAACUUGAAGCGAGUCACCUGGGAAGUACGGUCGCAAGGCUGAAACUUAAAGGAAUUGGCGGGGGAGCACUACAACGGGUGGAGCCUGCGGUUCAAUUGGAUUCAACGCCGGG